GCCUCGCGGGGGGUGCCUCCUCCCCCUGCGAUGGGGGUCGUAAGAGCCACUGGGGGAAUAGGGGCUUGCUCUCAGUCACCGCCUCGCGGGGGGUGCCUCCUUUCCUUUCUACAUAGACACAGUGACAGUCUGAUCUCUCUUUCUUUUCCCUACAGAUGGACACGCCCCCACUGAUAUUGUUUUUAAUGCAGCGUGGGAGGGGAGGAUAUGACACGCGAUAUCGCAGCCUCCCAAAGUGCUGGGAUUGCAGGUGCGAGCCACCGGGUCCAGCCUCUCAGGCGAUUUUCAUACCUGCAUACUCUGAUCACUACUCUGUUAAACAGUCAAGGAGGCUGAGUGCCACGUGCUGACGUCACUAAGAUCAAUACAGCAAACUCUGAAAGAUGGACAGAGAGACAGGAGAUGGUCCUUUAUAAUGCAGUGUGAUCUGUGCUGCAAUAGAGUUUUGGAAGCUAGAAGUUCAAAACGAGGUGUUGGCAGCACCAUGCUCUCUCUGAAGAUGCUAGGAAGAAUCUGCUCCAUGCCUUUCCAUUCGCUCCUGGGGUUUCCUGCAAGCCCUGACAUUCCUUGGCUUGUAGAUGCAUCACCCCAGUUUCCGCCCCCAUCAUCACAUGGCCUCCUCUCUGUGUGUGCCUCUGCGUUCCCUCUAUUCUUCUUCUAAGGACACCGACACCAGUCAUAGUGGAUUAAGGGUCCACUCCUAACCAAUUACAUCUGCAACAACCCUAUUUCCA
rnacentral:lncRNA from 1 species